GCCCUGGACAAGCCUAGAGCUCCCGGACUCCUCGGAUGCCACUUACCCAGUGCCUGCUCGGUUACUAAAGCAAGCCUGGUAUUUCUAAGGCAAGCAUCAACUCCUCCCAUAGAGUAUGGAUGGUCUGUCUGCCCAUCAGUUUUGAAGUCAAUCCUAAAGAAUCGUGUUUUAACUCUGAGUUUCACAGAAAGCCCCAGUGCAUAUUUGAAGGGCAGUUCACAUUUCACUCUUGUGAGGUCAGCUCCAGAAAGACCCUGGCUCAACAAACAAGAAUCCUCUCAUUUGAACAAAAUAAAAGCCACAGGCUCAACUCCAAUCAUUUCUCUAAAUUUUUAUUAAAUAUCCUUUUUUUUCCCUACAGUUUGAUCUUGUGGAAAGGAAAGAUUGUGAAGAUGAACAAGUCAAUUACCUUUUCUAAGACAGCACUUAGUCCUUGUUACAGAGAAAAACAAAAGAUCUGUGGCACAUCAUCUUUGGAAAGAUCUUUUGCAGUUUCUUUUAAAAAAAACUCUCACAGAUCACGUCUGCCCCCUUUCAGAGUCUCCCAUGAGGCAGAUGAACCCCAUUCACAGAAGCCCCAGGGGUGCCGUUCCACUGCUGAUGCUGAUUUUUACAUCUGUGGUGCUCCCCGUAUUUGCACUGCGCAUCUUCACCGGGAGCCUGGCUGCUUCCCCAGCCUGCACACAAAACCACUGUGCUGAUCAGAGCUGGCACAUUAUUCCAUGAUAAAGAAAAACUCAUUAAAGGCAGACCAGUGAUUCUCAUUAUCACCUUGACAACAUACUCCUUUUUAAAGCAAUUUUAAUACCAAGAUUUGACUUCUAACAUUUUAAGAAAGAAAAUAUAUAAUAUAUAAUAUAAUAUAUAAUGGUAAUAAAUUAAAAAAAAAAGGCAACCCUGCUCAGGUAUCAUCCAAAGCAUGAUCACAUUC
rnacentral:lncRNA from 1 species